UUGAACGCUGGCGGCAUGCCUAACACAUGCAAGUCGAACGGUAACAGGGGCUUCGGCCCGCUGACGAGUGGCGGACGGGUGAGUAACGCGUAGGAAUCUUCCCAGUAGCGGGGGAUAGCUCGGCGAAAGCCGGAUUAAUACCGCAUACGCCCUAUGGGGGAAAGCAGGGGAUCUUCGGACCUUGCACUAUUGGAUGAGCCUACGUCUGAUUAGCUAGUUGGUAGGGUAAAAGCCUACCAAGGCGACGAUCAGUAGCUGGUCUGAGAGGACGAUCAGCCACACUGGGACUGAGACACGGCCCAGACUCCUACGGGAGGCAGCAGUGGGGAAUAUUGGACAAUGGGCGAAAGCCUGAUCCAGCCAUGCCGCGUGUGUGAAGGAGGCCCUAGGGUUGUAAAGCACUUUAAGCUGGGAAGAAAAAGCCUCGGUUAAUACCCGUGGCCUUGACGGUACCAGCAGAAUAAGCACCGGCUAACUUCGUGCCAGCAGCCGCGGUAAUACGAAGGGUGCAAGCGUUAAUCGGAAUUACUGGGCGUAAAGCGUGCGUAGGCGGUUACGUGUGUCAGAUGUGAAAGCCCCGGGCUCAACCUGGGAUGUGCACUUGAUACGGGCAUGCUUGAGUUCGAGAGAGGUGAGUGGAAUUCCCAGUGUAGAGGUGAAAUUCGUAGAUAUUGGGAAGAACACCAGCGGCGAAGGCGGCUCACUGGCUCGAAACUGACGCUGAGGCGCGAAAGCGUGGGGAGCAAACAGGAUUAGAAAGCCUCAUAAUACGGGCAAUAGAAGAUAGGGGCUGGCAGUUCGCCCGUCCCCAUCAAGGCGGCGGAGUUUACGAGCCAAGCUCACACCCUCCCCCGGACAGUUCAAAGGAGAAUAUGAACCAGGAUCGAACGGG
rnacentral:rRNA from 1 species